rnacentral:rRNA from 1 species
UAACCUGCCCAAGAGAUCGGGAUAACACCUGGAAACAGAUGCUAAUACCGGAUAACAACAGAUGAUGCCUAUCAACUGUUUAAAAGAUGGUUCUGCUAUCACUCUUGGAUGGACCUGCGAUGCAUUAGCUAGUUGGUAAGGUAACGGCUUACCAAGGCGAUGAUGCAUAGCCGAGUUGAGAGACUGAUCGGCCACAUUGGGACUGAGACACGGCCCAAACUCCUACGGGAGGCAGCAGGG